rnacentral:sRNA from 1 species
GAAAAAGGAAAAAAAAA